rnacentral:tRNA from 3 species
GGUGGGAUUCCCGAGCGGUCAAAGGGGACGGGCUGUAAACCCGUUGGCUCAGCCUUCGCAGGUUCGAAUCCUGCUCCCACCA